rnacentral:sRNA from 16 species
CCAUGAACAACGCAAAUUUCAACAUUCUACAGUCCUCUCCUUUCAAAGGUUUCUCUGGGAAAUCCAUGAUGUCAGGAAGUAUACAACAUGCUUGUAUAGAAUGGAGAUCAAAUCACAAUCAGCUUCGAUCUUGGGUGCAGUGCCAUUCCUGAAGUCUCUUCGUGGAUGGGAUUGCAAUGAUUGAAUCUACAU